rnacentral:rRNA from 1 species
UACGUAGGGCGCAAGCGUUAUCCGGAAUUAUUGGGCGUAAAGAGCUCGUAGGCGGUUUGUCACGUCGGCUGUGAAAACCCGAGGCUCAACCUCGGGCCUGCAGUCGAUACGGGCAGACUAGAGUAUGGCAGGGGAGACUGGAAUUCCUGGUGUAGCGGUGAAAUGCGCAGAUAUCAGGAGGAACACCGGUGGCGAAGGCGGGUCUCUGGGCAGUAACUGACGCUGAGGAGCGAAAGCGUGGGGAGCAAACAGG